CCGAGUACGGGGCGCAAGCCCCAUACCCACACCCAGUGUCGACUCUCUCUGUUGCUUCGGCGGGCCGUCGUGGUUCGCCGCGCCCCUGGCUCCGGCUGGGGUGUGCCCGCCGAAGGACCAACCAAACGCAUGGCAAAUCGGUCGUCCGAGGAUACAUGAAUCAGUCA
rnacentral:misc_RNA from 1 species